rnacentral:rRNA from 1 species
GACGAAGGAUGCAAGCGUUAUCCGGAUUCAUUGGGUUUAAAGGGUGCGUAGGAGGGCAGGUAAGUCAGUGGUGAAAUCCCCGAGCUUAACUUGGGAACUGCCGUUGAUACUAUCUGUCUUGAAUGUUGUGGAGGUGAGCGGAAUAUGUCAUGUAGCGGUGAAAUGCUUAGAUAUGACAUAGAACACCAAUUGCGAAGGCAGCUCGCUACACAAUUAUUGACUCUGAGGCACGAAAGCGUGGGGAUCAAACAGG